UUUUAUCCAGAUGCAGUAUCACUCGAAAAUAAAACAGCGCUGAUGAGAGUAAUAAUUGUAAGCUACAAGUUGGAGAUUGAGCUCAUGAUUGUAUUUAAGCGACUCGAUAAACCUCCUUCGAGGAAUCGAGGAAAUGCGUUGGCACAGACCUGCAAGGAACUGCGUGAGCGCUGCGAUGCUUUGAUGCUUUUCCCAAUGCUGACUGGACGUUUAUCAAAGAUCAAGCAAUCCGUAACUUAACCUGGCCGGCGACCAAAGAAGAUUACAUUACAUUUCGAGCGCUGGCCGACAAUUACUGCCGCAUGAAAAUGCAUCCGCACUCUGCAAGAAGGAUCUGAUAGCCCGUUGCGCCGAUGAUCCGCAUGUGGAGUCAAAGUGGUGGGCCUACUGCCCAUCCUCGAUUGAGUGGUCGCUAUCCUGGGUCGCAUUGUGCCAGUCCGACGUUAAUCCGCUUUGGUAUUACCGCGCCCACCGAUACUGUGACGUACGCAGCCAUGAUGUGGAUUUCAAGCUGCAUUGAGUUGCAACGAUGGCCUACCCAGAGCAACGUCACCAUUAAUAAUGCUAAAAGUCUGGUCUGUCAACACUUGGACAACUGCGUAAAGCGAUUGGAAGGUCACCUGUACGAGGCGCUAUCCGACGAUUGCGGAUCGGAGGCAGUGGAUGCUAUGCGCGAUGGUUGUCGGGCGCGGCACGCUGCUUUCUGUUCAACUUAAAAAAUAUGGCUUCUGCUGAUACAAUGUGUGUAUAACACUGGAAAAAAUUUCGCAUAGAUGGGUGCUGUAAAUCGAUGUCACUUCUCAAAACCGUACGCAGCGAAACUAUGAAA